rnacentral:rRNA from 1 species
UACGUAGGGUGCAAGCGUUAAUCGGAAUUACUGGGCGUAAAGCGUGCGCAGGCGGUUUUGUAAGUCAGAUGUGAAAUCCCCGGGCUUAACCUGGGAACUGCGUUUGAAACUACAAGGCUAGAGUGUGCAGAGGGGGGUGGAAUUCCACGUGUAGCAGUGAAAUGCGUAGAGAUGUGGAGGAACACCGAUGGCGAAGGCAGCCCCCUGGGUCAAGAUUGACGCUCAUGCACGAAAGCGUGGGGAGCAAACAGG